CCAGCCUGCAGCCGCUCCGCCGCUCGCUGCUAAAACCGCACCAAGAGCGCACCACGAACGUCCUCGUCCCGCUGUGGGCGGCGGGGAGGCGAGGAAGGAGGACCCCCGAGCGCCUGCGCUGCCUGGGGCUGACUUGGGAAGCCCUCGGGUGAGGUCGACGGCGCCGCGUGGCUCCGGCUCCCCCACCUGCGCCAGGAGGAGGAGGAGGAGGAGGAGAGCGGCUUCAGCUCCGCUCCUCGAAGCAACAGCUGGGAAGAGGGAGGAGAAAAUGUCUCAGACGCCUGAUGAGCGCUGUUGACAGCGCGCCCGAUGUUUGUACCGCCCUGCCCAGGCAUGGGGCUGUCGUUUGCCUUCCCCGCUGUCGUCGUCUGCGUGCCGAAGGAGCGCUGGUGCCUGUCCUGAUGGACCCCGAGCCCCAGCGCUCUCGCCUCUAGGCGUGGAGAACGUGGAUGCAAGAGCUGAAAUCUGAAAUUUAAGCACUUCAAAUUACAGGCGCUGAACCCCCCUGGUGCGGGUGAUGGGUGCAGGGGAGGACUCGUUAAUGCGGCGCACAGAAGCACCUCUGUAGGCGAGGAAAUCUCAAGGCAGGGAAUUUUAAGGGCUGUGGGGUUUAGCUUGCGACGGAGAGGGAGCCGAGCGGGACUGCUCGCGGGUGCUCGACCUGCCCGCAAGGAGCCGGGCGCAGCGCUGGGCUGGAGAGAGCCGAGGACAGCCGAGAUUUCGCUGCCGACGUUUGGGCGACCAAAGCCCAAAAUCCCCGACGGCUCCCGCGGUUACGAACGUUCCCGGAGGGGAAAAGGAUCACGCCAGGGAGAGGCAGCUUGCCACCCAUCGAUCGGGCCACGAGCGAGGCGGCUCGGUCACUCGCUGCGCCGGGGUGACCUUGGCAGCGUGCGUGGCUCCUGCGAGGCUCCAGCCUCCUGCGAGGCUGCGCUCAGCACCCGCCUUCCCAGUGCCGGCCUCCUUCCUGCUGCUCCUGGAUGCUGCCUGCGAAGCGGCAGGCUGCUGUCUCUGCAGGAGCUCCGGCACGGGGCUGAUCCCUUGCCGCUGAUCCGGGGCUGUUUGCAGCACAGCCUUGGGUUUCGUUUCGCCGCCACCUUCGCCUGCCGCUCUGGUUAAGCCUCUGCAGUGUGUGUGUGUGUGUGUGUGUGUGUGCGGGGAGGGAACGGCUUCUAUUUUAAUAGCUGUUCCUGGCAAAAAAAAAAAAAAAAAAAGAUGCUU